UAUGGUCAAGUGAAGAAGCGCAUACGGUGGAUGCCUUGGCAGUCAGAGGCGAUGAAAGACGUGGUAGCCUGCGAAAAGCUUCGGGGAGUCGGCAAACAGACUUUGAUCCGGAGAUGUCUGAAUGGGGGAACCCAGCCAUCAUAAGAUGGUUAUCACACACUGAAUACAUAGGUGUGUGAGGCGAACCAGGGGAACUGAAACAUCUAAGUACCCUGAGGAAAAGAAAUCAACCGAGAUUCCCUUAGUAGUGGCGAGCGAACGGGGAUUAGCCCUUAAGCUUCUUUGAUUUUAGCGGAACGCUCUGGAAAGUGCGGCCAUAGUGGGUGAUAGCCCUGUACGCGAAAAGGUCUUAGAAGUGAAAUCGAGUAGGACGGAGCACGAGAAACUUUGUCUGAAUAUGGGGGGACCAUCCUCCAAGGCUAAAUACUACUGACUGACCGAUAGUGAACCAGUACCGUGAGGGAAAGGCGAAAAGAACCCCGGAGAGGGGAGUGAAAUAGAACCUGAAACCGUAUGCGUACAAGCAGUGGGAGCCUACUUUGUUAGGUGACUGCGUACCUUUUGUAUAAUGGGUCAGCGACUUAUUUUCAGUGGCGAGCUUAACCGAAUAGGGGAGGCGUAGCGAAAGCGAGUCUUAAUAGGGCGUCUAGUCGCUGGGAAUAGACCCGAAACCGGGCGAUCUAUCCAUGGGCAGGUUGAAGGUUAGGUAACACUGACUGGAGGACCGAACCGACUACCGUUGAAAAGUUAGCGGAUGACCUGUGGAUCGGAGUGAAAGGCUAAUCAAGCUCGGAGAUAGCUGGUUCUCCUCGAAAGCUAUUUAGGUAGCGCCUCGUGUAUCACUGCUGGGGGUAGAGCACUGUUUCGGCUAGGGGGUCAUCCCGACUUACCAAACCGAUGCAAACUCCGAAUACCAGCAAGUGUCAGCACGGGAGACACACGGCGGGUGCUAACGUCCGUCGUGAAAAGGGAAACAACCCAGACCGUCAGCUAAGGUCCCAAAAUCCUGGUUAAGUGGGAAACGAUGUGGGAAGGCUUAGACAGCUAGGAGGUUGGCUUAGAAGCAGCCACCCUUUAAAGAAAGCGUAAUAGCUCACUAGUCGAGUCGGCCUGCGCGGAAGAUGUAACGGGGCUCAAACCAGGUACCGAAGCUACGGGUUCAACG
rnacentral:rRNA from 2 species